CCAUGGCCCUAACCACCCUGAGUGCUCCCGAUCUCAUUAGGUCUCAGGAGCUAAGCAAAGUUGGACCUGGUUAGUUACUUGGAUGGGAGAACAAACAAAUCUUAGAAGAAGCACGGC
rnacentral:rRNA from 1 species